rnacentral:lncRNA from 1 species
UUAGGGUCACAGAAGCAAGGGUGGAAAUCGUAGGGAGAUACAGAGAGCUAAUUCUCUGUUUUUCUACCCUGCCAUUCCUUCCUUUGGGCUGACAGCCGUUCAUCAGCCAUUUUCUAUUCUAUUCUUCUGAAGACCUCUUUUAGUGACUGCAAAUAAAUUGCCUGUCUGCCCAUCUGCUCCCCAUCUAAAUGCAACUGUGAAUGUGGACAUUUGGGAUGGAAUAUUGGGGGUCUUCGAUUCAGGUGUGGAUGGAUGGACAAGUCCUGAUCAUCUGUGGUUUAAGAUGUGGAAUUAAAAGGCAGAUGGAAUUCGACAAGAGGGACAGAACUGAAAACAGUCAUCUGGGGGGCUGAACCCUGAGGAAGAUGUGGAGCCUGAGUUCCCUCAUGUAUGAUACAUUCUCAGUGACUUAUUCCAUGGCACACCUCCUCCUUUUCCUUCCCUGCUUUCUGGAACCUCUGGAAAUUUCCACUCUUUGCUCCAGCAACAGCCAGUAGCAGCCGGAGAAGCCAGCCCAAAGCGCUCCCUGCUCACGCGCAGCUGACCCUCCAAGCACUGUUGGUAUUUUCUCCCUUCAAGGGCCUCAUCAGAGUUAGUGGAGCUGGGGGCCUCUUUGCAGGGUCUGCUACACAUGCAAGGCCAGAUGCUCCCUGCUUGCCCUCUGGGGCCAAUUGGAGAGUUUGUAUAAGGAAUGUUUGUUCAGAAAUCAUACUGCUUGCUCUGUGUUACCUUGUAGUGUUUGCUCCUGCUUUUUGCUUUUCUGGUAUGGAAAUUUAACAUGUGUAUAUAGUCUCAUUAUUUUAACUCACAUAAACAUUAUCUACAGCCAGAUUUGCAUUUUAUGUCUUGGAUACUUGUCACUGCUGCUUUUAAAAAACACAUUCAUAAUCAUUUUCAGAGUCUUUUCAAGUAUUUUAAUCUACUCAAGCAUUGUUCUUUACUAAACUGAAUGGGAAUUUUUUUGUUUAGGAAAGGCAGAAAUGUUGCCAUUUCCCUCUUUUAGUGUUUUCUGGAAAUUUCCUCUUACAUACUUCUGGUGAAAAAAAAAAAAAAAGAUAAAAAGAGAGAGACAGGAACCACAAAGUAAAAUGUGCUCAGAAACUCAUGCUUUAAAAGUGCUAUGAAUAUUGUGUUAUAUGACUUAAUUUGUUUUAAUUGUGAAAGAUUCACAAAAACAUUCAUUUAUGUAAAUGGGAAACUAAGAUUCCCACUCUGAAUGCAAAGACCAGACACUUUUUAUUGUGCUAGUAUGAAUUUUUUUGUGCUGUUUGCUUUUAUCCUUACCCAAAAGCUGUAUACAUUGGUUGGAGCCUGUGAUCACUUCCACCUCAUUUUGUAAAUGUCCGUAUGUUAUUUGUACAGAUAGCCUAUUAUAUACAUAUAUAUAUAUAUACAUAUAUAAAAUUUUCUUCCUUUUUUUCAGUGAGUAGCAAAAUUGUUUUCAAUGACAUAAAAAGUUCUAUUCAAAUUAUGUGUUCAUACAUCUGUUACCGGAGAAGGCAGUGGCACCCCACUCCAGUAUUUUGCCUGGAAAAUCCCAUGGACGGAGGAGCCUGGUAGGCUGCAGUCCAUGGGGUCGCUAAGAGUCGGACACGACUGAACGACUUCGCUUUCACUUUUCUCUUUCAUGCGUUGGAGAAGGAAAUGGCAACCCACUCCAGUGUUCUUGCCUGGAGAAUCCCAGGGACGGGGGAGCCUGGUGGCUGCCGUCUAUGGGGUCACACAGAGUCGGACACAACUGAAGUGACUUAGCAUAGCAUAGCAUAGCAUACAUACAUCUGUUACAGGCAAUACAUAUUUUUGUAAUCUGAUCAUAUAGAAAUAGAAUUCUAGUCUUUUAUCUACUUCUCUUUGACAAUUACCAUAAGGUUAAAAACAGUUUUAUGCUUGUGACUUUUUAGGAUUAUCAUUUUUGAUAAUCCUUGAUUUAGUCAAUUAUUUGUCCACCUUUCUAUGAUUUAGCUGAUUCAUCAAUGCCCACUAUUUCAGACUGAACCUUUGACACCUCUCUGUCAUAGUUUGUUGUGAAUAGGCUGCUGAGUGUCCUAGAGAGUGUAGAUGGGAUUCUUCAGCAUGGGAUGAACAGGGAUUUCCUCAUUAGAAACCACUAAGAGAAACAAAAUCAAGAAGAGGGUAGAAAAGACAUCCAAGGCUCUAACAAGGAGACUAGGAUUUAUUUGAGGGCAUUCAGUGCAAAUGAUAUGAAUCCCAGGAGGACUGUGCUGAAAGGAACACACUACUCCUCACAGUGUGCAUCUCUGAGAUUCAAUAUCUUAUGUCUGCUCUGCAAGUAAUGACAUCCUUGACCUAAUAACCUAAAAAGUAAUCUGGGGGGAAUAUUUGACUCCAAUUUAUGAGUUGUGAGCAAUAAACAGAGCAAAAGUAUUGAUAUUUUAUGGAUAUAUUUUACUACAAAGUGUGUGCCUGCAUUCAGGGCACUGAGGGCCAAUACUCUAAACAGAGAAUUCAAAGGUCAGAUCUUGGUCAAAAAUUGCCCUUCACCAUCACAAUGUUGGAGCCUGUCACCAUUAAUUUUCCUGUUUAUGAAUAGCAACCUUAUGUUUCAUGCAAGCCACAUAGAAUGUGGCAUUUAUGUACCAAAUGGCAAAGAUGGUUCCCCAAUUUAAGGAAACUGGAGGGUUUUUUGGAAACAAAAGCAAUAAGUCUUACUGAUGUCUCUCUUUUUUAUAUAAUUUUAUUUAUUUUUGUCUAUGUUGAGUCUUCGGUGCUUUGCACAGGUUUUCUCAAGUUGUGGCAAGUAGAGGCUGCUCUUUAUUAUGUUGCAGGUGGUUCUCAAUGUUGUGACUUCUCUUGUUGCAUAACACAGGCUCUAGGCAUGGGGGCUUCAGUAACUGCAGUACGCAGGAUUGUAGUUGCAGUUUUGGGCUCUAGAGCAAGGGCUCAAUAGUUGUGGUUUACCGGCUUAGUUGUUCCAUGUCAUAUGGAAUCCUCCUGAACCAGGGGUCAAAUCUAUCCCCUGCGUUGGCAGACAGCCAACUUAUCCACUGCACCACAGGGAAGUCUUGAUUUCUCUUUAAAAAAGGAAAAAGAUGAUGGUGUUGGCCUUUAUAAAUAGAAAACUCUUCUUGAUUUUUUUGUAACUUUAUCAGCCACAUAUAAUAAGAAAUAGUUUAAAAGGCAGAUUAAGCUCCCUAUAAGAGGCCCAACCCACUUAUGCAUAGUGUUUCCUUCAUCUCUAUUGGGUAGUCUUUCACACUUGGGCUUGUAGCAAGAUGGCCAUGAUAUGAAAACCUCUGUUUUUUUGCAUUCAGAAAAUAUUAAAGGGUUGAGAGUCAAGUUUGAGUGACUUUUUCUGUGUCUUUUCUUUUUCCUGAACUACUCCUGUUGUUCUGUGAUCCACAUCCUAGUGGAACAGUGAUACACAUAGCAACCCUAUCUGCAUGGAGAGGGCACUGGACUUGGGAACAAAUUGAUAAGGUGAACUGAAAUAGGUCUUAUGGGAAUCAGUGUGCAGUGUCUCUCACAGUUUCCUCUUCUGCCUCUGGGAAAUAUUCCAGACAGUGCCAUAUUUCAUGUUCAUUUUUCAUCUUAAUGUGAGCCUAAAAUGUGACCGGUGAUUUAAAAAAUAGAAGAAAGAACCCUGGGGAUUGACUGUGAGGCAAUUUUGCCAUGUGUUAGAUUAAAGACUGCUAGGCAGUUAUUGAAUAUAUGAUGUCAUUGUAUGCCCCAAGACAAGAACAACAAUGACCACCUCAUUGAGAUUUGUGGGAAUUAAAUAUGUUAAUAACGAUAAUUAGCACUCACAUAUAUUCAAUGAAUAUGUAUUGUUGUUUUCUGAGGGCAACUAUGUCUUAAGUUGGUGAGCAACAGUAUAGAAAGAAAAAAACACAGAGAACAAUGUACCUUCUUUAUUCAUCUCCCAGUUGGCUAAAAGUUACUGCUUGAUUCUGGAUGUAGAGUCAGGAGGGAAUUUUGAAUAGUCAUCUAGACAGAUGGGCAUGAGAAAUUGAUUUAUGACUGCUCACACAGAAAAUUUGUAUGCCCAAGUGUGGUUGUGGAGUUAUUAAUACCUACCAGAGAUGGAACGUGUGCUAAGACCUAGUCCUCACACUCAGGAGCUCCACAGUAAGAACAUUUACAGCUCCUAGAAACAUGCUUGACUAAACAGAUAUAUUAUAUUGGAUAUUAAAUAUAGUAUUAAUACCAAUAGAUUAUCACCUCUGAAUUUCAAAAUAUCAUAUUGGAACUCUCAUUACUAUUGUACAGACCAGAAAUCAGAGGCACAGGCAAGUUAAGAAACUCUCCCAAAGCCACACAGAAAAUUGCAAGAUUGGGAAAUCAAUCCAGGCAGCAGUAUUUCAUAGGUCUUAUUCCUCCAUAUGAAAACCCACUGGCAUCAGCAUGUAAAUAGCAAAAAAAAAAAAAAAAAGGAAAUUUUAAAUGUUUUUUAUCCACCUGUCUUUAACUAAGGCUCUUGGUUUUAUUCUCCUUUUCUUUAGAGGCACAUUCUUUGAGCAACACAAUGAAAACUGCCCUGAUAUAGACAAUACCCCUCUCAAAAUACACCUCUACACAAAAGAUGGCCUCAAGCUGUGACCAAUAAUAGCAAGAGGCAGCCUGCAAACUCAAAUAACCUAUCAUAUUGUAUUUACUGGAAUGUCAAGAUUUCCAAAGUAAAAUAUGAGAUCUAAGCAUUUCCCCCCAUCAAAAAAUACAAAGUAGCAGUAAAGAGAUUUUAAUCAAUAAUAUACUGUUGCUAUAAGGAAGGAGGUCCACUGUGAACUGAACUCAGUUUCUAUUUGUGUAGAAGUGAACAGGCAUUUUAAAGAGAGAAUGGGGGAAAGAGAGGGAGGUGAGUAAGGGCUCAGUAGAAUUAGGGAUGGGAACAAACAACAAAGGGUUGGUUCCUGUAAAUGUGAUUAGGUCAGCUGUGUUUGCAAGCUGACAGUUAUUUAAGUUGAGAUGUUAUCCUCCCACAGAGACUUGUAGAUGAAAGCCCUAUCCUUCCUAAUUUAAUUUCAAAGGAAUGGUGUUCAGGUCCUUGACAAAGAUUUCCAAGACUAGAAAGAGAUGCAUAUAUAUCUCAAAGGGACAGAGAAAAGAUCCAAAAUUGUAAGCUCCUUUUAGUAAAUACUGUAAGAAAAUGGGAUCAAUUAUGGGCUAGAACAUACAGUAUAUUUUUGGCAGCUUUGAGUCACCCUAGGGAUUGAGCUGUUAGAAACCAUGAUUAAUAUUUGUUUAAGUCUUUUAAUGUGUGUGUGCAUGGGCGGGGGGUGGAUAGACAAAAUCCUUUGUAUGGAAAGUCUGUAGUUUUCAUAGGCCAAGAUGAAGUCUAAUUGAGAAGGCUCAGAGGAACCUGGCUAGGAUUGGGUCAGAGAACUUUCAUCAGUAUUAAAAAAUAGCAUUACAUUCUAGAAUUCAUAUGGAAUCUCAACAGACCCCAAAUAGUCAAAAUGAUCUCAAAAAGAGGACAAAGUCGAAGGUCUCAUACUUCCUGAUUCCAAAAAUUAUCCCAAAUCCACAAUAAUUAAAAGAGUGUGGUACUAGCAUAAAGACAGUCAUAUGGGCUAAUGGAAUAGAAUAGAGAGUUUAGGAAUAAACCCUUGCAUAUAUGGUCAAAUGAUCUUUGACAAGGUUUCCAAGACCAUUUAACUGGGGAAAGGCAGCCUUUAAAAAAAGAUGAUGGAAAAAAUUUGUUAUCCAAGUUCAAAAGUUUAAAGGUUAACUCUGAUCUUAUGCCAUAUACAAAAUCAUUUCCAAAUGGAUCAAAGAUGUAGAUGUAAGGUUGAAAACUAUCAAACUCCUUGAAGAAAACAUAGGGGGAAAUCCUAAUAAUGUUUGAUUUGGCAAUGAUUUAUUGGAUAUGAUACCAAAAGCACAUGCACAAAAACAAAAAUUGAAGAACUGGAGUAUAACAAAAUUAAAAACCCUGUGCAUUAAAGGCACAAUCAAUAGACUGAAAAUACAACCUAUGGAAUGGGAAUCUGCAAAUCAUAUCUGAUAAGACAUUAGUCUAGAAUACAAAUAGCCCUUGCAAUUCAACAAUAUCAAAACAAGUAACCUGAUUAAGAAAUAUGCAAAUGACUUGAAAAGUUAUCCAAAUAAGAUAUGCAAAUAUCCAACAAGCACAUGAAAAUAUGUUAAACAUAAUUAGUCAUUAGGUAGAUUCAAAUUCAAACCACAGUGACUUACCACCUCGUGGCUAUCAGAAUGACUACUAUAAAUCAAGCAAACACAUAUACAGAAAAUGACGUGUUGGUGAGAUGUGGAGAAAUGAGAAUCUUUGUGCAGUCUUAGUGGAAAUAUAAAGUGGUACAAUUGUUAUAAAAGUAAAGUAGUCAUUUACUCAAAAAAGUUUAAUAUAGAAUUAUAAUUCCAUAAUUCUGUAUAUAUCUAAAACAAUUGAAAGCAAGCUCUUGAAGAGAUCUCUGUCUACCCAUGUUUAUUGUAAUAUUAUUCCCAAUAGCCAAAAGAGUAGAGCAGCAAAAGUGUCUAUCAACAAAUGAGAGGAUAAUGAAAAUGUAGUUUACACAAUCAAGGGAGCAUUAUUCAGCCUUCAAAGAAAGGCAAUUUUGAUUCACAAGAUGGGUGAACCUUGAGGACACUAUGCUAAGUGAAAUAAACCAAAAGAUAAAUACUGUAUGAAUCUGAUUAUACAAAGUAACCAUUAAAUUCAUAAAGAAAAUUCCCUGGUAGUUUUCAGGGGCUGGAAGGAGGGCGAAAUGGAGAAUUGUUGUUUAAUGUGCAUAGAGAUUAAACUAAUUUUAGAGAUUGAUUGUACAAAACUAUGAAUAUACUUAAGUAAACUUAAGUUAACUUUAAGUGAAUUUAAAGAGAGUUAAGAUGGUAGAGUUUAUACUACGUGUAGUUUACCACAAUUAUGAUUUUUUUACAAUUUAAUUUUAAGAUAAUAUUGCUACCUAUUGAAAUGAAUAGAUAGGCAGAUAGAUCUCAGCUACUAAGUGUCUAGGUUCAGUAUUCAAACUUGGUGGAGCAAUCUGGCUGUUAGAUGAAAAAGAUACACGGAACAUGCAGAUUUUGGCAACAGAUGAGUAACAAGAAAAACUCAAAAAAUAACAAAAGCCAAAACAUAUAUAAUGUGGAUGAUUCCUGAUUGUUGACUCCACUGUGAUGUUAAGUGGUCACAGAGCAGCCUCUUGAAAGCUUAUUUCCAUAUAUCCUGUUAACAGUAGUUGCCAAUUGGAUGCUGAGCACCUUGUUCAUGAGUUCUGUACUUGUCCCACCUGGAAAACAAGACCUAGAAUGUAAGGCCCUUGGAGAUACUGAAUUCUAUUUGACCUUUCUCUUAUAUACCCACAGAACCUAGAAUAUUUCCUCUGACCUUACAGGUGAAAACACCUCGAUGUUGAAUUAUAUAGAGAAAAUACACUGAUUUGAAUUUGAAGAAUAGAGAUUAUAGCAUAGACAGAAAAUUCAUUAUUAAUAGCUACAAUUUUCAUUUUCAUCUUGGUUGCCACGUAUGCAGUUUGAAAAGUUAUUUAUAUUGAAAUUAAAAUUCAAUUUAACUUAAUUUAAAAUUGAAUUUAGAUAUAAAUAACCUAUUUAUCUGACAUAAAUUUAAAAAUAAAAAUUUUUAAUGACUUUAUUUUCAUAGAAGCUAAAUGAAACUUUUUAUUUUUAGUGUUUUACUUACAAGUUGAAUAUUAUCCUUGUCACUGUUCUUUCUGGCCUUCUUGAGGUCAAGUUGCCCUCCACUGGAACCUAUCUCCUUAGGAGCACUCUAAUGUGUUUAGGGAUUCCUAAAGAUUUAAAUCACAGGCUACUUGAGUUGUCUGUUUUUUUCUUUCUCCAUCACAAAUUUGUGUCAUAUUUAUUACUGUUUUUACACUUCCUACCUAUUUGCUCAUCAUUGACUUUUAAAAUGAAGACUAUUAAAUGGGAGUAGAACCACUGAGAAAUAUUUAAAAUUAAAAAGUCAUACUGGGGAAUAGUAAAGCUGAACCUAAGCUCAGAUAAUUUUACUAAUCCAAGAGAAAAGUAUCUAAGAAUGACCUGUUAUCAGGCAGUAAGUUUCUUAAGUGAGACAUUGACUGAGUUAUUAAUAGUUAUUCAGUUCAGUUCAGUGUCUCAGUCGUGUCCAACUUUUUUUGACCCCACGGACUACAGCAGGCCAGCCUUCUCUGGCCAUUACCAACUCCCAGAGCCUACUCAAACUCAUGUCCAUCACGUUGGUGAUGCCAUCCAACCAUCUCAUCCUCUGCCAUCCCCUUCUCCUCCUGCCUUCAAUCUUUCCCAGCAUAAGGGUCUUUUCCAAAGAGUUGGUUCUUUGCAACAGGUCGCCAAAGUAUUGGAGUUUCAGCUUUAGCAUCAGUCCUUCCAAUGAACACCAAGGACUGAUCUCCUUUAGGAUGGACUGGUUGGAUCUCCUUGCAGUCCAGGAGACUCUCAAAAGUCUUCUCCAACACCACAGUUCAAAAGCAUCAAUUCUUCAGUGAUCUGCUUUCUUUAUAGUCCAACUCUCAAAUCCAUACAUGACCACUGGAAAAACCAUAGCCUUGACUAGACAGACCUUUGUCAGCAAAGUAAUGUCUCUGCUUUUUAAUAUGCUGUCUAGGUUGGUCAUAACUUUCUUUCCAAGGAGUAAGUGUCUUUUAAUUUCAUGGCUGCACUCACCAUCUGCAGUGAUUUUGGAGCCCCAAAAAGUAAAGUCAGUUGUCACUCUUUCCACUGUUUCCCCAUCUAUUUGCCAUGAAGGGAUGGGACCAGAUGCCAUGAUCUUAGUUUUCUGAAUGUUGAGCUUUAAGCCAAUAAUUAAUAAUAUAAUUAAUAUUUAUUAAAGUGUUAUAUUAAUUUGCAAGAGAUAUAAAAAACUUUCACACAUCAGGUGAAUAAACAGUAGAAAUUAAUUUUCUUACAGUUCUGGAGGCUAGAAGGCCAAUAUCAAGGUAUUAAGAAAUUUGGGUUCUUCUGAGGUCUCUUCUUUGACCUGCCUUCUUACUGUGACCUCACCUGAUCUUUUUCCUUUGUGUAUUUAUAUGUCUUCUUCCCUGUGUAUGUUAGCAUUCUUGAUAUCUCUUUGCACAUCCAAAUGUUCUUUACUUAUAAAAACCAGUAAAAUUGGAUUAAAGCAUACCCUAAUGGUCUUAGUUUUACUUAAUCACUUUUUAAAGGCCUUGAAAUGCAUUCACAUUCUGAGAUGCCAGGGUUAGAUCUUCAGCAUAUGAAUUUGAGAGAGACACGAUUCAGCCCAUAACAAGUACAAAUACAGAUUUUAAGGCUACAGAAAUAAGGGAAGACCUACCCAGAGGUAAAUAUGUUCAAGGGUAUGGUAAGAAUAAAAAGAGUGGCCUGUUUAUAAAACUGUCAGUGGGCAUAGGGACAAGAGAUAAAUCUAAUCCUAUAUGCUAGACUUUUAUCAUUUCAUCUCUAUGACGGAGACAUAAACUGAAAGAUCUACUAUGGAAAAGAGAUAAUUAUAUUUUACCAUUUGUAGAGGAGGCUACAAAUUUAAAGAAGGAAAUACUGAAAAUAAGGAGAUUGAUGCAACAACCCACCUAUUUUUAAGUUGGGCUUAUUAAGCUGAAAUCCAUCCUUUUCCAGUUUAAUGUAUUUCAAAAUUUACAUGAACUCAUGCAACCACAUACAAUUAAUAUUAUAAUUAAGAACAGUUUUCAUUACUCCCUGAGUUUCUGUCAUGCCCUUUUGUAGUAAUCCUAUGGACAGUCUUGGAAUUUAUUAAUCAUAUCUAACUUGAUUGCUUAGCCUUUUCCAAGUCUUAUAAAUGAAACCAUUUUGUAUGCAAUAUUUUCUGUUUAGUUUUUCCCACUUACAAUAAUGCUUUUGAGCCUCAUUCAUAUUUUUACACAUGUCAGUAGUUUGUUACUUUUAAAUUCUGCAUUGCAUUUUUUUUGAGUAAUUGUACUAGAAUUUAUUCACCUUUUUUAACCACUUCAUGGGUAAUAAGGUCAUUUCCAGGUCUGGAUUAUUAGAAACACAGUUUCUAUAUGCACUUAGAUACAGCAUUUUGUGGACAUAUACUUUCAGUUUUCAUGAGAAUAUGUCUAAUUUCAAGGUUGCUGGAUCAUAUAAUAAAUGUAUGAUGUGCUUCACAAAAAACUGUCAAACCCUUUUCCCAAGUUGAUGUACCAUUUCACAUUUUCAAAGCAAACUCUGAAAAUUCUAGUUGCUCCACAGCUUCCCUAGCAUUUAAUAUUGACAGUAUAUUUUAAAACUUUUUCAAUGGUAAUAAUAACCCUGUAUACGAGAAAGAAAAAGAGACACUGAUGUAUAGAACAGUCUUUUGGACUCUGUGGGAAAGGGU